rnacentral:rRNA from 1 species
AACAGGAUUAGAUACCCUGGUAGUCCACGCUGUAAACGAUGUCUACUUGUUGGUUGUGCCCUUGAGACGUGGCUUCCGGAGCUAACGCGUUAAGUCAACCGCCGGGGGAGUACGGCCGCAAGGUUAAAACUCAAAUGAAUUGACGGGAGCCCGCACAACCGGGGAAGAAUGGGAUUUAAUUCAAUGCACCGCGAAAAACCUUACCUACUCUUGACUUCCAGAAAACUUAGAAAAAAUGCCUUGGGGCCUUCGGAAACUCUGAGACAGGUGCUGCAUGGCUGUCGUCAGCUCGUGUUGUGAAAUGUUGGGUUAAGUCCCGCAACGAGCGCAACCCUUAUCCUUUGUUGCCAGCGGUCCGGCCGCUAACUCAACUGACACUGCCAGUGAUAAACUGGAGGAAGGUGACGAUGACGUCUCGUCAUCCUGGCCCUUACGAGUACGGCUACACUACUGCGACACUGACAUAUACAAAGAGAACCGACCUCGCGAGAGCAUCCGGACCUCAUAAAGUAUGUCGUAAUCCGGAUCGGAGUCUGCAACUCGACUCCGUGAAAUCGGAAUCGCUCGUAAUCGUGGAUCACAAUGCCACGGUGAAUACGUUCCCGGUACUUGUACCCCCCGCCCGUCUCACCAUGGGAGUGACUUGAAAAAGAAGUAUUAGCUUAACCUUCGCGAGGACGCUUACCACUUUGUGAUUCAUGACUGAAGUGAAGUCGUAACAAGGUAACC